rnacentral:rRNA from 1 species
AACGAACGCUGGCGGCAUGCCUAACACAUGCAAGUCGAACGAAGGCUUCGGCCUUAGUGGCGCACGGGUGCGUAACGCGUGGGAAUCUGCCCUUAGGUUCGGAAUAACAGUUAGAAAUGACUGCUAAUACCGGAUGAUGACGUAAGUCCAAAGAUUUAUCGCCUGAGGAUGAGCCCGCGUAGGAUUAGCUAGUUGGUGUGGUAAAGGCGCACCAAGGCGACGAUCCUUAGCUGGUCUGAGAGGAUGAUCAGCCACACUGGGACUGAGACACGGCCCAGACUCCUACGGGAGGCAGCAGUGGGAAUAUUGGACAAUGGGCGCAAGCCUGAUCCAGCAAUGCCGCGUGAGUGAUGAAGGCCUUAGGGUUGUAAAGCUCUUUUACCCGUGAUGAUAAUGACAGUAGCGGGAGAAUAAGCCCCGGCUAACUCCGUG